AUUAGGGCUCCGAGGCUAGCUCCGAUUUCUUCUUCUCUGGAUGUUCACUGAUCUGUGCCCUAGCACGGUCUGCGUUUCCCCGAUCGAUGCCAUUGGAUCAAGCCAGAUCCACCGAUCGCCGGUGUAGAGAGGGAGUUAGGGCUUCAAUGGGUCAGGUCAUGGAUCGUUUGAGUGGAUCUUGGAUUCCUCUGCCGGAGCUAGGUCUUGGCAGACGCUGGCUAGUUGAGGGUCAGUAGAUUCAAUACAUUGCAUUAUGGAUUGGAUUAGGUGACACUUUCUGGAGGCAACCGAUCGAGUACUUGGACUUUCUCUUCUUCACUGUGAUUGAGGUCUCGGUUGAAGUGGAGAAGAAUCCCAGCAGUCAAUA